GCCUGGGUGGCUCAGUGGGUUGAGCCUCUGACUUCGGCUCAGGUCAUGAUCUCGCGAGAUCUCGCGUGAUCUCGCGUGAGUUCGAGCCCCGCGUCGGGCU
rnacentral:tRNA from 1 species